CAGGGUUAUAGUUUAUAAAAACAUUUGAUUUGCAUUCAAAAAAUAUUAAUUUAAUUAAUUUAUCUUA
rnacentral:tRNA from 1 species